rnacentral:rRNA from 1 species
CUCAGAUUGAACGCUGGCGGCAGGCCUAACACAUGCAAGUCGAGCGGUAGCACAGAGAGCUUGCUCUCGGGUGACGAGCGGCGGACGGGUGAGUAAUGUCUGGGAAACUGCCUGAUGGAGGGGGAUAACUACUGGAAACGGUAGCUAAUACCGCAUAAUGUCGCAAGACCAAAGUGGGGGACCUUCGGGCCUCAUGCCAUCAGAUGUGCCCAGAUGGGAUUAGCUAGUAGGUGGGGUAACGGCUCACCUAGGCGACGAUCCCUAGCUGGUCUGAGAGGAUGACCAGCCACACUGGAACUGAGACACGGUCCAGACUCCUACGGGAGGCAGCAGUGGGGAAUAUUGCACAAUGGGCGCAAGCCUGAUGCAGCCAUGCCGCGUGUGUGAAGAAGGCCUUCGGGUUGUAAAGCACUUUCAGCGGGGAGGAAGGCGUUAAGGUUAAUAACCUUGGCGAUUGACGUUACCCGCAGAAGAAGCACCGGCUAACUCCGUGCCAGCAGCCGCGGUAAUACGGAGGGUGCAAGCGUUAAUCGGAAUUACUGGGCGUAAAGCGCACGCAGGCGGUCUGUCAAGUCGGAUGUGAAAUCCCCGGGCUCAACCUGGGAACUGCAUUCGAAACUGGCAGGCUAGAGUCUUGUAGAGGGGGGUAGAAUUCCAGGUGUAGCGGUGAAAUGCGUAGAGAUCUGGAGGAAUACCGGUGGCGAAGGCGGCCCCCUGGACAAAGACUGACGCUCAGGUGCGAAAGCGUGGGGAGCAAACAGGAUUAGAUACCCUGGUAGUCCACGCCGUAAACGAUGUCGAUUUGGAGGUUGUGCCCUUGAGGCGUGGCUUCCGGAGCUAACGCGUUAAAUCGACCGCCUGGGGAGUACGGCCGCAAGGUUAAAACUCAAAUGAAUUGACGGGGGCCCGCACGAGCGGUGGAGCAUGUGGUUUAAUUCGAUGCAACGCGAAGAACCUUACCUGGUCUUGACAUCCACAGAACUUAGCAGAGAUGCUUUGGUGCCUUCGGGAACUGUGAGACAGGUGCUGCAUGGCUGUCGUCAGCUCGUGUUGUGAAAUGUUGGGUUAAGUCCCGCAACGAGCGCAACCCUUAUCCUUUGUUGCCAGCGGUUAGGCCGGGAACUCAAAGGAGACUGCCAGUGAUAAACUGGAGGAAGGUGGGGAUGACGUCAAGUCAUCAUGGCCCUUACGACCAGGGCUACACACGUGCUACAAUGGCAUAUACAAAGAGAAGCGACCUCGCGAGAGCAAGCGGACCUCAUAAAGUAUGUCGUAGUCCGGAUUGGAGUCUGCAACUCGACUCCAUGAAGUCGGAAUCGCUAGUAAUCGUAGAUCAGAAUGCUACGGUGAAUACGUUCCCGGGCCUUGUACACACCGCCCGUCACGCCAUGGGAGUGGGUUGCAAAAGAAGUAGGUAGCUUAACCUUCGGGAGGGCGCUUACCACUUUGUGAUU